rnacentral:lncRNA from 1 species
UUAUCUGGGGGUUCAGCAGCCCCAGCCCCAGCACUGCCAGAAGUUAGUGUUUGUGGGAUGGAGGCUGGAGAUUUGCAAGUGUUGGAGUGUGAGGAGGAGGCUGCUGCUGGUAGGGAAGAGGGAUCUGUGGCUGGUGCCUGACCAGACAGGAGUCAGGCAGCAGACAAAGCACAAGGGUACAGUUUGGCGCUAGAGGAGCUACAGGAUUUGGGAGCUAACAGGAUCCCAGCUGUGUGUUUAAAGGCUUGCUGGAUUCUGGAAAGCAAAGCAACCACAAUACAAGUGGGCUGCAGGGUUAUGGGUAAACCUAGAGAUAAAUGUGGGAGUGCUGUCAGAGGCUGUGAAACAGAGACUAUAUAGUCCCAAGAUUUUAUUCCGUGUUAUCUGUCUCCUGGUGGUUCAAAUAAAAGUGAUGCCUGUCCUUAAAAAUAAUUUCCAGCAGAAGCAGUAAAGUAACAGGAAAACCUUGUUGCUCAGUGCAGCAGGGUAACUUGUGGGCGUAGCGUCCCUCAUGUCACAGUAAAGGUGAGCUGGUCAUUAUUUUCUGUGGGCUUGCAUUCACAGGGCUUUGAGGGGGCAGGAGGAAAUAAUGGCAGGAUUUAUGGGCUGUUCUUCCUGCCCAGUUCAGUACAAUGCCUUGUUUCCCUGAGGUGGCCCAGUGCAGCCCCAUGCAAAGAUGAGCCACAAGCCUCCUUCCAAUACUUUCACUGUGGGAGCAGUGGCACUGGCUGCUGUCAGGGCUGGCAUCUGCAAUUCCAAUCAAGAGGAGCUGAAAUUCUCCCUCAUUAUGAUGGUGUGGCUUUGUAGUUUCCUGACUGACACUUUAAAAGCUAUUUAUUGCUAAAACAUAGCACGGCAGAGGAACUCAUGAAAUAUUAAUUAAGACUGUCACAUAGAUAUCAAUUGGAAUAAAUUGCUUGUUCUGAUGCAGCUAGUUGGUAUUUCUGUGAGGUAUUUCUGCACUGAUUGAAAUGUUGAAAGUGAAACAUUAUAAUUGAGAUAGUUUUGUCUUUAUUUGCCAAAUCACUUGUUGCUUUGAAGCCUGC